UACGUAGGGACCAAGCGUUGUUCGGAUUUACUGGGCGUAAAGGGCGCGUAGGCGGCAAUUCAAGUCAUCUGUGAAAUCUCCGGGCUUAACUCGGAAUGGUCAGGUGAUACUGCUUUGCUAGAGUGCAGAAGGGGCAAUCGGAAUUCUUGGUGUAGCGGUGAAAUGCGUAGAUAUCAAGAGGAACACCUGAGGUGAAGACGGGUUGCUGGGCUGACACUGACGCUGAGGCGCGAAAGCGUGGGGGAGCGAACAGG
rnacentral:rRNA from 1 species